AUCCCUAGUUCCUUCUCUUGUUUUGGCGCCAACAUCGUUCUUCUCUUUACUUUGGCGCCAGAAUCAUUCUUCUAAAAUCAAAACUUUUCCAUUGUCGAUCUUUAUUCUCCAUCACCAACCAUGUAUAUCAAGAGGAACGGUAUAAUAGAAGCAAGCCUAUCUUAUGUUGCUGAAAAGGAAACACUGGAUACGUGGUCAUGGUUUUUGAACUACUUGUCUAUUGAUUUGGAGAUUGAUGAUCAUGGUGGUUGAACCUUCAUGUCAGAUAAGCAAAAAGGUCUUCUUGAAGCAUUUAACGAUGUGUUGGCAUUCGUUAAUCAUAGAUUCUGCGUGAGACACCUCUAUGGCAAUAUUAGGAGGGCUAGAUUUAGUGGUUUCUCCUUAAGGAAUGCACUUUGGGCUGCUGCAAAGUCUACGACGGUGAAGUUCUUUCAUGAUCGCAUGUAUGACCUUUUAAAUUUAGAUGUAGAUGUUGUUUCUUGGAUAAAUGACAAACCACCAAGUGAAUGGUCUAGAUCUCACUUCAAUCCAAAUGCUAAGUGUGAUAUCUUGUUGAAUAACAUGUGUGGAUCCUUUAAUAGCAUGAUACUUGAGGCCCGAGACAAGCCCAUUAUAACAUUGUUGGAGAAAUUAAGAUACGUAUUGAUGGCUCGGAUACAAGCUAACAUGGGUAAAGGAGAAAAAUGAAAUUUGGGUGAUAUUUGCCCUAGAAUCAAGGAUAUUCUACACAAAAAUGACUCGGCAGCAACUGUGUUUAUUCCUCAAAAAAUCAAAUAAGUGGAAUUAUGAAAUCCUUGGAGAGAGCAUGGAUGAUAAUUAGGCAGUGGACCUACAUAACAAAAUAUGUAGUUGUAGGAAGUGGACGAUAAUGGGAUAUCCUUGUAAGCAUGCUAUUUCGGCAAUUUGGACUAAAAAUGAUGAGGUAAUUAACUACGUCGAUGACUGCUACAUGGUGGAAGCAUAUAGGAGAAUUUAUGAAUAUGCUAUUCUUCCAAUUAAUGGAUCACAAUUGUGGCCUAAAUCUAGUAAUAUUCCUCAUUUUCCUCCAAAGAAUGUGAAACAAAAGAGAGGAAGAAAGCAAAAAUUGAGGAAAAAGAAAUUUAGUGAAGCUGGAGCGAGCAAAACAAGGAUGAAAAGGAAGCAAACAAUUAUUGAAUGUAGCAUUUGUCAUAAGUCUAGUCAUAACAAGAGAACUUGCAAGUUUAGCUAUGUGGAGAGAGAAACUAACCUAAAUGAACCAGUCUUUUGACAAUCAACUACAUCAUCACAUCCUGAAAAAUUGCCGGUAUAAUAUUUGAAUAUGAUGUAAUUUUUAAGUCGCUUUUCUAUUUACAAGUUAAAAGUUAAACCAUGUUUUCUCUAUUUUGUAGGUUAGAAGAGGAGAAUUAAAUGAGGUUAAAGUUGGAUGCUCUCUGAAUUACUUUUGCUGCUAUUUUUGGAUGGCGUUUAACUCACGAUUGUUGCUAUUUUUCUUUUGGGAAGCUGAAUAGAAUAUGAAACUAUUAAAACUACUCAAAUAAGUUUCAUUUACAUGUUACGCAUUAAACCAUAUUUCUGUAUUUUGUAGGUUAGAACAGGAGAAGUAGAAGAGAUUAGUUCUCACUACUAUUGAAGACAUUCUACUGUUGGAAUUCUUAGAUGUUGUGUCGUAGACAUUGUUCUAGUCACAUUUGCUGCUGUUUAGGAAUCGUCGAAGAUUUUGAAGCAUGGAUGUUGUUUAGUCAUAUUUUUUGUUGUUUCUAGUCAUAUACAAUAUGUAGUUCAUGUUUUGAGCAAAUUGUUAUAA